UUCCAUCUUCACCACUAUGAAAUCUACAGGAAAUACGAAUAUAUCUAGCACUAAGGCAUCUUCAACUAUCUCGUGGGUAUUAUAGUCGUUUGGUACGCCAGCUGCAAAUAUAUUGGUGCAGACCUUAUCUCUCCAAUCUCAUUCUCCAGCAUCCUGCAAAUAGACAAAGGCAUUAGAUUAAUUGAGGCGCCAAAAUCACAUAAAGAUUUAUAGAAGUUAAGAGUGCCUAAAGAGCAAGGUAUAGAAAAACUCCCUGGAUAACCACACUUUUGUGGGAGUUUAUUUUGCAAGAUUGCACUGCAAUGCUCUGUGAGUUUCACUACCGAUGUCUUUUCUAUCUUUCUCUUCCUUGUAAGGAUCUCCUUCAAGAACUUUGCAUAAGCUGGCAUUUGGGAGAGAACUUCAGCAAAUGAUAGGCUUACAUUAACUUGUUUCAGCGUAUCUAGUGUCACACCUCCUUUUCCUACCCGAAAGGGGUAUAAGGGAGUUUUUCCAAUUAAAGUGACAAUAAUCAAAAUGGGAUUAUUUAUUCAAAUUCAAAGUCGCCACUUGGGAUAAUUUAUGGUGUCCCAAGUCACCGGUUUAAAAUCCCGAAUCGAGAAAAGUUUAACUCUGUUUUACAGUCCACGAAAUACAAUAAAUCCGGGUAAGGAAUUUUGUUAACUCGAGAGAAGGUGUUAGGCAUUUUCGGGUUCCGUGGUUUUAGCACGGUCGCUCAACUAUUAAUACUUGGCCAAAUUAUCUGAUUUAUUACAUGUUUUAAACCUAUUGUGCAUUUUUUAAAUUUAUAACCGCUUUUAGGAUUUACGGAUUUAUUUUUUGAAAAAGUUACGAUUGUCAUACACUUGCCGUUUUGGAACACACCUGUGAUGAUCCGGCCAGUCGUCUUAUGAGUUACCACUCUGUUUCCCCCAUUUUUGCUUCUUUAUGCUUUUUUAUCCGUGUUUUGUGGUAUCGGGUUGGCCGGAUCGAGUCCGGAAUGAGUUUGGUGAAGUUUGAGGCACUUAGUCUCUUUUAAGAAAGUUUAAGUUGGAAAAGUCAACCGGAUGUUGUCUUAUAUGUUAGAGGGCUCGGAUGCGAGUUACGAUGGUUCAGUUAGCUUUGAGAGGUGAUUUAUGACUUAGGAGUGUGAUUGGAAUAGGUUUUGGUGGUUCGGAGUAAAGUUAGGCUUGAAUUGGCGAAGUUGUUAUUUUGGCGAUUUCUGGUUGAUAGGCGAGAUUUUGAUGUAGGGGUCGGAAUGGAAUUCCGAGAGUUGUAGUAGCUUUGUUAUGUCAUUUGGGAUAUGUGUGAAAAAUUUUAGGUCAUUCGGACAUGGUUUGGUUGGGUUUUUUAUCAAAAGUGUAUUUCGGAAGAUUUUAGAAACUUAGGCUUGAAUCCGAUGUGUUUUGGGUGAUUUGAUGUUGUUUGAGGUGUUUUGAUGAUUGGAACAAGUUUGAAUGAGGUUUUAGGAUUUGUUGGUGCCUUUGGUUGAGGUCCCAGGGGCCUCGGGUGAGUUUCGGGUGGUCAAUCGAAUCAUUUGAAGUUGGAAAAGAUUGCAGAAACUGCAGGUUCAGGUGUUGCAGAAAAUUGCCCUUCGCGAUUGCGUAGGUGGUCUCGCGAUUGCGUAGAAGGAUUUAGGAAGGACAGGAAUUAAGCCUUCGCAUUCGCUAGAGGGGCUUCGCGUUCGCGGAGGGUUGGGAAGUUGGUCAACGCGUUCACCUGAAGGACUUCGCGAUCGCGUAAAGUAAUCUGGGUCUGAUGGGUUCGAGGUUAGGUGUUCAUCAUGUUCGCGUAGGAGUGAGCGCGUUCGCGAAGGUUAAGGUGGAUGAAGCAUCGCGUUCGUGAUGGACUGGUCGCAUUCGCAUAGAGUAAUUUUGGGAAGCUGAAGAAUUGUUCUUCGCGAUCGCGAGGGACGUUCCGCGAUCGCGAUGAAGAAAAUGAGGUCUGGGCAGAAUGUUUUUAAACUCGUCUUGUUCGCGAAUGUGGGUCAAUUUUCACCCAUAGCUGCUCGUUUUUGGAGAUUUUUGAAGGAGAUUGAAGACGGAUUCAAGGAGAAUCGUUGGGAGGUAAGAUUCUUGGACUAAAACUCGAUUAUUAUGUGAAUUCCACCUAGAAAAUCAUGAAAGCUAAGCCUAAAAUUGAAGAACUAGGGCUUGAGAAAUUGGACUCUUGAUUGGGGAUUUGGAGGACCAUUUGGGAUCGGAUUUGAGAACUUUUGACAUGUAUGACUCGUGGGGAGAUAAGGAUCCUAUUUAUGUAAAAAAUUUUGAGUUUCGAGAAGUGGGCCCGGGGCUCGGGUUUUGCUAAUUUCAGGAUUUGUGCCCUUUAUUGAUUGUUUUUGCUUGGGCUUUGUUCCCUUAGCAUAUUCUAACGUCCUCGUUCUGAUUUUGGAUAGAUUCGACGUGUGUGGAGGCCAAUUCGAGGGGCAAAGGCGUCGCGAGCUAGAGAUUUAGCCGGUUCGAGGUGAGUAAUGAUUGUAAAUGAUUUUUUGAGGCUUUGAAACCCCGGAUUGCACAUCGUAGUGCUAUAUUGAGGUGAGACACACGCUUGAUGACGAGCGUGGGGUCAUGCACUAUUGGGGAUUGUGACUUGGUCCAUCCCGAUUAAUUAUUUUACCGCGUAUUUGAUUGAAAACUAUUUGCUAUCAUCAUUCCUUGGCUGAAUGCCAUAUUUGGGCCUAGUGCCAACUAUUUGAACCUUUCGAGGCUUUUUAUUGAUAUUUCCUCACUGUUUUGACUUUAUACUUGAACUCAGUCAUGUUAUUUUUCCAGUGUUUUUCAUACUCAGCCAUGUUUACUCAGUUUUAAGACAUAAAUGAUGUUUGGGCUGAGAAACAUUGUUUUACUAUUGCCCGAGGGGCUUGUGAGUAUUUUUUAUUGAGUAAGGCCGAGGGCCUAUUUGUGAGGAAAAACUGAUAAUGAUUUGAGGCUGAUGGCCUGAGAUAUAUAUACUCCACGAGGUGGCUUGAUUGAUAUGAGGUUGAGGGACUAGAUUUGAUGCCACGAGAUGGCUUGUUAUUGCGCUUAGGCCGUAAGGGGCCCCUCUCGGAGUCUGUACACCCCUAGUGAGCGCGGGUACCCAUUGUGAUGAGAGAUUGAGCCUGGGGGAUGGUAUUGUUCUGAAAUUGAGCUCGAGGGGCUGGUACUAUUCUGAGAUGUUGCCCGAGGGGAGGAUUUGUGGAUACUGUGCCCGAGGGGCGAACUUCUAUUUGUUUACUUUAUCUUAAUUAUCUACCAUUUACAUGUUUACUGGUUGGAAGAGGAUUUUACUUGUUUUUAGUGGUUUUACUGAUUUUAAGUGAUUUUCACUGCUUCAUUAUAGAAUGCCUUGUGUUUACAUGUUUUCUUACUCAGGCGUAGCUGGUUCUGCUCCGUGAGUGCUGAUUUCCUCCAGUUCAAGGCGGGCCUUUCGGAGAUUACGAGGUAGUUGUUGAUGUCCGCAGCCCCGUGUCUCUACUCCUCUAUCAUUUCUGUUAUUCUUCAAACAUUUGUAGUAGUUUAUAACUUUAGCAGACUAGUAUUAUGGUUUAGAGAUGCUCGGGACUUGUGACACCCCAGUUAGGGCUGUGUUGGGUUGUACUUCCGCACUUUAUUGGCAUUAUUCGCUACUUAGUAUUGUUGUAUCAUGUUUAGACUGAUUUUAUGUUGAAUAACUUCUUUAAAAGAUGAAUUGGGUUUAAUUGGCUGACCUUGUCUUCAUGAGAGGCGUCAUCACGACCGGGUUCUGGUUUAGGGUCGUGACAACACCGCAAACCACACUACAUGAAAUGCACCCGCGAUUCACGAUAUGUUUUAUUUUUAUUAUUAUUAGAAGUUGUGGCCUUGUGAAAUGCACACCCGAAUAGGAUUUACAUAUCGUGACCAUGCCACUGGAACCGUACCUAUGACCAUGAUGAUUAAUUAUUGAUCGUGCCUAAAGCAAGCUACGAUGGUAGUGAUUUAUUUAAGAAUUGUGUGGAAGAUAUUAUGAAUUAGUGCUAAUUUAAAGACGGGCCAACUGAUGGAUUCGUUUGUAUUGGCCUGAGCGAAUGAAACAAUUGGACCAUAUUUUCUCUUAUUCCACAAGAAUUUAAUCUUUCUAAAUCCUAUGGCCAUUUGAAACACAUCACGUACAAAUGAACAACCAACCCGAUGAAUCAAUUAGGCAAAUAGAAGAGAUGAUAGUAAAAAGAUAAAAUAAGAUAGAUAAGGUAGACCCAAAUAUGAUAAGAGUCGUGUUAGCUGACCCGCCCCAUUUCUAUUUUUACCACUCAAUAUCAAAUUCAUUGGCUAACAGCCAUAAACUAUCUCUCAAAUUAUAGUGACAAAGCAACACUAUAAUUCCAAACUGUUCUAAUCUAUAGCCAACAAGAAUUUCACAAAAAAGCGCAUAUAUCCCUUUUCAACGAACUAGAACGAGAAUAGUCUCAAAUUUAAACAAAUAUUCAAACCAAAAGAUGUUACCUCUAAGCUAACAUACAGAGCAUUUUUGUUCAAAUGAACUGAGACCGGAAACCACCGUCGGUAAACUCGAACGCAAUCUCAGCUAAUACUCGUUGAACUCUAUUAGAAAAGAUGAGUGUUUUCCUGUAUUUCGCGCCUGUUUCAAGCUGGAUUCGCAGUUCUUUGAGGCUGGAGUUUGCUGCACUUUAGGUCCUCUUUUGAGAGUGUUUUAGAGUUAUCUUUCAGGUGGUUUCAAUGGGGAAAGGUGGCUGCCUUUUCAACUGGUUUUGGAAGCUGAAAUAACAGAGAUGAGUGAAGUUUUAUCGGGGAAGGGCUACUGCAUUUUGUUUAUUCUUGUGACUAGUUUUCAGCUUUUGCUUCUUAUGUGUAUGUGUGUUGCGGUUGAUGCUACCCUUUUGAGCCUCAAGUAUGAGAGGUUGCUGCCUCUCCAACGAGUGAGACAAGAAUUGAGAGAUUAGCGCGAGCUGUAGAAGAGUGACCACCGUUGUUCUUCUUUUUCUUUUUGUGUGUUGAAAAUGGCUGCUAUGUCUCUAGGUUGAAGAUGGGAUGGGCAUUUGUUUUUGUGAGGGUUGUAGAAACGGUCAUUGUCUUAGACGUGUAGGUGUU
rnacentral:lncRNA from 1 species